UACGUAGGGUGCAAGCGUUGUCCGGAAUUAUUGGGCGUAAAGAGCUCGUAGGCGGUUUGUCGCGUCUGCUGUGAAAACUCGGGGCUUAACUCCGGGCCUGCAGUGGGUACGGGCAGACUAGAGUGCGGUAGGGGAGACUGGAAUUCCUGGUGUAGCGGUGAAAUGCGCAGAUAUCAGGAGGAACACCGGUGGCGAAGGCGGCUUCCUGGACCGACACUGACGCUGAGGCGCGAAAGCUAGGGGAGCAAACGGG
rnacentral:rRNA from 1 species